rfam:Mycobacterium asiaticum strain 1245139.5 contig_144, whole genome shotgun sequence.
CGAGUUGGCCGGGCGGCCGCGGCUCGAGUCGAUCCGAAAGGAGCGCCUCCGAGUCGAGGAAAGUCCGGACUUCACAGAGCAGGGUGAUUGCUAACGGCAAUCCGAGGUGACUCGCGGGAAAGUGCCACAGAAAACAGACCGCCACCCUCGUGGUGGUAAGGGUGAAACGGUGCGGUAAGAGCGCACCAGCAUCCCGGGUGACCGGGAUGGCUAGGCAAACCCCACCCGAAGCAAGGCCAAGAAGGCCGCACCGAAAGUGCGGUCGCGCAGACGUCCGAGGGCUGCUCGCCCGAGUCUGCGGGUAGGCCGCUCGAGGCACCCGGCAACGGAGUGUCCAGAUGGAUGGUCGCCGCCAGGCCACCGUGGAUUAAAGCCGCGGCGGCGUGGAACAGAAUCCGGCUUACAGGCCAACUCGUCCG